rnacentral:rRNA from 1 species
UACAGGGGGUGCAAACGUUGCUCGGAAUCAUUGGGCGUAAAGCGCACGUAGGCGGUUCGUUAUGUCGGAUGUGAAAGCCCUUGGCUUAACCGAGGAAGUGCAUCCGAAACUGGCGAGCUAGAGUACUAAAGAGGAUCGCGGAAUUCCCGGUGUAGAGGUGAAAUUCGUAGAUAUCAGGAGGAACACCGAUGGCGAAGGCAGUUCUCUGGGCCGUAACUGACGCUGAGGAGCGAAAGCGUGGGGAGCGAACAGG